AGCGAACGUUAGCGGCGGGCCUAACACAUGCAAGUCGAACGCGAAAGGUCUUCGGACUGAGUAGAGUGGCGCACGGGUGAGUAACACGUAGGUAAUCUACCCUUUGGCGGGGGAUAACGUUCCGAAAGGAGCGCUAAUACCGCAUAAGACCACGGAGUCUCCGGACGCUGUGGGAAAAGGUGGCCUCUUCUUGAAAGCUACCACCGAAGGAUGAGCCUGCGUCCCAUCAGCUAGUUGGUAAGGUAAUGGCUUACCAAGGCGAAGACGGGUAGCUGGUUUGAGAGAAUGAUCAGCCACACUGGCACUGGAACACGGGCCAGACUCCUACGGGAGGCAGCAGUGAGGAAUAUUGGGCAAUGGGCGAAAGCCUGACCCAGCCACGCCGCGUGAGUGAUGAAGGCCCUCGGGUCAUAAAGCUCUGUGGAGAGGGACGAAAACCCUGGUUUCAAAUAGGCUCCAGGCUUGACGGUACCUCUUUAGCAAGCACCGGCUAACUCUGUGCCAGCAGCC
rnacentral:rRNA from 1 species